CAGAGGUCUCAAGCGUUGUUCGGAAUCACUGGGCGUAAAGGGUGCGCAGGCCGCGCGGGCAGUCAAAUGUGUAAUUCAGGGGCUCAACCCCUGGACUGCGCUUGAUACUUCCGUGCUAGAACCUUGGAGAGGAGUCUGGAAUUCUCGGUGUAGCAGUGAAAUGCGUGGAUAUCGAGAAGAACACUAAGGGCGUAAGCAAGACUCUGGACAAGUGUUGACGCUCAUGCACGAAGGCUAGGGGAGCGAACGGGAUUAGAUACCCCGGUAGUCCUAGCUGUAAACGGUGCACGUUUGGUGUGGGAGGCAACCCUUCCGUGCCGAAGCUAACGCGAUAAGCGUGCCGCCCGGGUAGUACGGUCGCAAGACUA
rnacentral:rRNA from 1 species